GAUCCUGUAGAAAGUACAGCAUGAGUUAUCUGUUUAUGCCACCCAAUUGCUGGAGAAGGAGCACUAUGGUUGUUAUUCAUUGCUUAGGGAUGAUAAGGUAUUGCUGCUGCUGCUGCGAGUGGUGAAAUUAUUUUAUUUGAUUUUAAUCCAUUGAAGUUCAUCCACAUUUUUUGGUCAACAGAUAGAGGACUUGUCAAGAAUGUAUAGGCUCUUCUCCAAAAUACCUCGAGGCUUAGAGCCUGUUGCUAAUUUAUUUAAGCAGGUUGUGAUAUGCUUCAGUUUUUUAAAAUAAACGUUAUUUUUCAAGUUUUUUGUUUCUCAUAUAUAAUGGCAUCUUGAGUGCAGCAUGUUACUGCUGAAGGUACAACGUUGGUUAGACAAGCAGAGGAUGCUGCUAGCGCCUAGCAAC
rnacentral:lncRNA from 1 species